GGCUUCGGCAGCUCCAAAAUGGCAGCGCGGGGCGCUGAGGGCGGUGGGGACCGAGCGUCGUUGGGCCGCGCCUCACGGCUCCCCCUUGAGGCGUCCGAGGAUUCCAUCUGCUACCCAGCAGCAAACAUUUUGUUCUCCAUCCAGAAAACACGAUGUAUAAAUUGCUAUCUGAAAAACUGCGUUGCUAUGUCUCAAUUGCAGUCUCCUUAGAUGGCCUUCGGGAAAUUGGCAAGACUGUACAGAAAGCGAAUAAAUUUGUAUACAAUACCUGCAGCAUAGAUUUGUCAUCUCAGCAGCCCUCUCUUUUUGAUGUAAAUCAUGAAACACAACCGAAGAAGAGCCACAGAGGGAAAGCCCAUGUGAGGAAGUAACGUGGUUAGUGCCAGCCCUCAGCUGCCCAUACAGAGAUUAACCAAGCUGCCUUUCAGGAAGCUGCAUGGCCAUUAUCCCAUCAGGCUGUGAAUUAACCAGCUUACAACAAGUGGUAGCUGAGAGGUCUCAGCAGUUCAGUCACCUGUCAUUGACUACCCUUUCCUCAAUUACAUGUUCUUUGUAUCUUCUUAUAACCUAAUUUCUAUACCCUUUCUAUUAUCAGGUUCCUGCUGUAUUACCAUGGCUAGACAACAGUUGACUGGACCUUUUUCAAACUGUUAAGUGUAUAAUAUCAUCUUAUGGGAAAUCCUCACCACAACAUUUUCAUACUGUUGCUCUUUAACUAGGACUGUAAUUACACAGUUUAAUUAGAUUUUGUUUGACAUGCAUCCACAUUGUGUCCUAUUCUUUAUUUGCAAUGUGAUUCUCCCCUCCACUAUAAAAUGACAGUCACAAUCUAUGCCAGCAUGUAUUAUUCAGUUGCAUACAAUGUAUCUGUUCGUAUUUUGUCAUACCAAAUACAUACCUUUUGAUCAGUCUUACUUUUCUCGAUUAUGGCUGUGCUGCUAAUGGAACAUGUUGAAGUACACACAACAAUGAAGCACUGGGAUAGUUGUCAAAUAUCUGAGUUCUGGAAGACAUUUGUUCCGAAGCCAUCUAAAGAAAAGAGGGGUGAAAAAAAGUGCUAUAGAUAAAGUGCUAUAGAUAAAGCUCACUAAAACAUGCCUGAGGACAUAAGAAAAUUGAAAAACAUCCCGUGUUAUUUGGACAGAAGUUUAUGUUUAUGCAAUCUUAAUUACUCAAGUUGUGACUGAACUCUGGGCACUGUACUUUAAGAGAUUAAUUGAUUUUCUAGCCUUUCCAAAGGACAAAUGUAGUAAGGACAGAGCUAAUGUCAUUAACCCUGUCAAAAAUGUCUUCUUAUUGUAUUCUGUUUUAUUAAAUGGUGAAAUUGUCUUUAAAGUGGU